UACGUGGGGUGCGGGCGUUAAUCGGAAUUACUGGGCGUAAAGCGUGCGCAGGCGGCCUCUUAAGUCAGAUGUGAAAUCCCCGGGCCUAACCUGGGAACUGCGUUUGAAACUGGGAGGCUUGAGUGUGGAAGAGGGGGGUGGAAUUCCAGGUGUAGCAGUGAAAUGCGUAGAGAUCUGGAGGAACACCGAUGGCGAAGGCAGCCCCCUGGGCUAACACUGACGCUCAUGCACGAAAGCGUGGGGAGCAAACAGG
rnacentral:rRNA from 1 species